UCCCGCCCCGCUGGGGCCGCGGGUCCUGAGGCGGAGGUGCCGCUCUCGGCCCCAGGGGCUUCCCUGAGGCUGCUGAGAUCCGGGGACUGCCCUCGGAGGUUCAUCCCGGGCUGCCUCAGGCCAGGGCAGCGGCCGCCCCACGGUGCGGCGGCGGAGGAUGCUCAGGCUGGCGCCGGUCUGUCACUCACCAUGGUGCUGCUCUGUCGCUCCUGUUGUCAGCCAUAGGCGCCCUUAGGGACAGCAGAGUACAAAACUGGAGCAAACAACUGAGGAUGUCAUCCUGUUUGGCUCAGGAGGUUCACCUUGCUAGAAGACAUGAGGAGAUGAUAUAGAAGCAGCAGAAAAAAGGCUGCAAGAAAGAACAUAUUUACUUCCACAUCCUGAUACUGUUAAGUUAGAAACUCUCUAUUGGACAUCAAUAAAAGAAUCUCUCCCCAAAUGGGAAGAGUUUCUUUUAGGAAGAGCA